CUCUCAAAGCACCCGAGAACUUGGCUAAAGCCCGCGUGUGCGCCCAGAGCUGCCUGUCCCCGUUGGAAAAGUGUCAGGCUGCAGGCUCCUGCCAACCUGCGAGGGACGCAGAAAGUGAGAUCCUCCUGAGUCCCUGUUGGAAUCAUGACCUUGCACUGGGGAUGCUGUUCAUGCGAACAUCCAGAUCGCAGGCAUAG
rnacentral:lncRNA from 1 species